AUUGAACGCUGGCGGCAUGCCUUACACAUGCAAGUCGAACGGCAGCACGGGAGCAAUCCUGGUGGCGAGUGGCGAACGGGUGAGUAAUAUAUCGGAACGUGCCAGUCGUGGGGAUAACGUAGCGAAAGCUACGCUAAUACCGCAUACGAUCUAUGGAUGAAAGCGGGGGAUCGCAAGACCUCGCGCGAUUGGAGCGGCCGAUAUCAGAUUAGGUAGUUGGUGAGGUAAAGGCUCACCAAGCCGACGAUCUGUAGCUGGUCUGAGAGGACGACCAGCCACACUGGGACUGAGACACGGCCCAGACUCCUACGGGAGGCAGCAGUGGGGAAUUUUGGACAAUGGGCGCAAGCCUGAUCCAGCAAUGCCGCGUGCA
rnacentral:rRNA from 1 species